UACGGCUCAGUAACACGUGGACAACCUACCCUACGGAAGGGGAUAACCCCGGGAAACUGGGGAUAAUACCCUAUAGACUAUGGAUGCUGGAAUGCUCUGUAGCCGAAAGGUCCGCCGCCGUAGGAUGGGUCUGCGGCCGAUUAGGUUGUUGUUGGGGUAACGGCCCAACAAGCCUGUAAUCGGUACGGGUUGUGGGAGCAAGAGCCCGGAGAUGGAUUCUGAGACACGAAUCCAGGCCCUACGGGGCGCAGCAGGCGCGAAAACUUUGCAAUGCGGGAAACCGUGACAAGGGAACUCUGAGUGCCCGUUAAAUCGGGCUGUCCAUCGGUUUAAAUAACCGGUGAAGAAAGGGCCGGGCAAGACCGGUGCCAGCCGCCGCGGUAAUACCGGCGGCUCGAGUGGUGGCCACUAUUACUGGGCUUAAAGCGUUCGUAGCUGGUUUGUUAAGUCUCUGGGGAAAUCUUCCGGCUCAACCGGAAGGCGUCUCAGGGAUACUGGCAGACUAGGGACCGGGAGAGGUGAGAGGUACUCCAGGGGUAGGAGUGAAAUCCUGUAAUCCUUGGGGGACCACCUGUGGCGAAGGCGUCUCACCAGAACGGCUCCGACAGUGAGGGACGAAAGCUGGGGGAGCAAACCGGAUUAGAUACCCGGGUAGUCCCAGCUGUAAACGAUGCGCGUUAGGUGUAUCAGUGACCACGAGUCACUGAGGUGCCGAAGAGAAAUCGUGAAACGUGCCGCCUGGGAAGUACGGUCGCAAGGCUGAAACUUAAAGGAAUUGGCGGGGGAGCACA
rnacentral:rRNA from 1 species